rnacentral:Y_RNA from 1 species
GGCUGGUCCGAUGGCAGUGGGUUAUCAGAACUUAUUAACAUUAGUGUCACUAAAGUUGUUAUACCACACCCCCNNNNCACUGCUAAAUUUGACUGGCUUAAA